GAUGAACGCUGCCAGAAUGCUUAACACAUGCAAGUCAUUGGCGAAGCUGCGCUUGCGCAGUCUAGCCAAGGCGGACGGGUGAGUAACGCGUAAGGAACUUGCCCUGCAGACAGGGAUAACAGACGGAAACGACUGAUAACACCUGGUAUUGUCAGGCUGGCGCAUGCCGGCCUGAUGAAAGGAGACACUGCAGGAGAGCCUUGCGUCCUAUUAGCUAGUUGGUGGGGUAACGGCCCACCAAGGCGAUGAUAGGUAGCCGGCCUGAGAGGGUGAACGGCCACAAGGGGACUGAGAUACGGCCCUUACUCCUACGGGAGGCAGCAGUGGGGAAUAUUGGACAAUGGGGGCAACCCUGAUACAGCAAUUCUGUGUGCACGAAGAAGGUUUUCGGAUUGUAAAGUGCUUUCAGCAGGGAAGAAGAAAGUGACGGUACCUGCAGAAGAAGCGACGGCUAAAUACGUG
rnacentral:rRNA from 1 species